CCAGCAGCCGCGGUAAUUCCAGCUCCAAUAGCGUAUAUUUAAGUUGCUGCAGUUAAAAAGCUCGUAGUUGGAUUUCGGGUGGGGCCUGCCGGUCCGCCGUUUCGGUGUGCACUGGCAGGGCCCACCUUGUUGCCGGGGACGGGCUCCUGGGCUUCACUGUCCGGGACUCGGAGUCGGCGCUGUUACUUUGAGUAAAUUAGAGUGUUCAAAGCAGGCCUACGCUCUGAAUACAUUAGCAUGGAAUAACAUGAUAGGACUCUGGCCUAUCCUGUUGGUCUGUAGGACCGGAGUAAUGAUUAAGAGGGACAGUCGGGGGCAUUCGUAUUUCAUUGUCAGAGGUGAAAUUCUUGGAUUUAUGAAAGACGAACUACUGCGAAAGCAUUUGCCAAGGAUGUUUUCA
rnacentral:rRNA from 1 species